rnacentral:rRNA from 1 species
GUAGAGCACUCCUACGGGAGGCAGCAGUGGGGAAUAUUGCACAAUGGGCGCAAGCCUGAUGCAGCCAUGCCGCGUGUAUGAAGAAGGCCUUCGGGUUGUAAAGUACUUUCAGCAGUGAGGAAGGUGGGUAUGUUAAUAGCAUAUUCAUUUGACGUUAGCUGCAGAAGAAGCACCGGCUAACUCCGUGCCAGCAGCCGCGGUAAUACGGAGGGUGCGAGCGUUAAUCGGAAUUACUGGGCGUAAAGCGCAUGCAGGUGGUUUGUUAAGUCAGAUGUGAAAGCCCCGGGGCUCAACCUCGGAAUUGCAUUUGAAACUGGCAAACUAGAGUACUGUAGAGGGGGGUAGAAUUUCAGGUGUAGCGGUGAAAUGCGUAGAGAUCUGAAGGAAUACCGGUGGCGAAGGCGGCCCCCUCGGACAGAUACUGACACUCAGAUGCGAAAGCGUGGGGAGCAAACAGGAUUAGAUACCCUGGUAG